rnacentral:lncRNA from 1 species
CAUUUGUAAAUUCUGAACGCUGAUUGGCUAAGAGCCGUGUUGAUAUAACUCCAUGUCAACACGGGAAAUUUUCCGCCGCUUAUAAACACGGAAAUUGUUCUUAUUCUUCGGGCUUUUGACAUUGCUAUAUUAUAAAACAAAUAUAAAACAUUUUUUCCGUAUUGAUAUAUAGCUAUAUCAACACUCGUGGAAGUUGGGAAAACUCGAAAUUGUGUGAAAACACUCCGCCCUUCGGGCGUCGUGUUUCCACACAAUUUCUCGUUUUCCCAAUUUCCACUCGUGUUGAUAUAACUGUAUAUCAACACGGAAAAUGUUUUAUAUUUGUUAAAUAUCAC